AGCUGAGUUGAUUGCAAUAAUAUGUCAGCGCUCUCCAGCCGAGGAUAUAAUUACACAAAAGCACUCUCCAAAUGCGUUGGCGAAAUAUUCCGAAUGUUCGCAAAUGAUAUUUCUAGCUGAACGAAAAACUUUGCAAUGUAUAGUUGAUCGGCGAGGCAUAGAUAUCGUGGUCAGAUGACAAGAAGGGAUCAGCGCAUGUGACAGUUUCAUUUGUGAUGGACGACGCCAACAACCUCUUCACGAACUACUACGACGACUACCUCGGCGUCAACCUCAACUCCUUUAAUCAGGACGUCAUUGACAACGACACCUUCUACUACGACGAUGUUGAAACUCUCGAGGGAGACCAGCCAAUCGAAACGACGCUACACAUUGUUCUCGCGUUUUUCAUCACCAUCAUCAACCUCCUCGUCAUCUGUGUCAUCAUCAGUGACAAAUCGCUUCGAACAUCGCCCAAAUACAUCCAUGUUCUCAACUUGACCUUUGCUGACCUCAUUUAUUCUGUGGCGGUGCUCCCUCUAUUGGCAGAGUUCAACAUUAGAGACAAAUGGAUUCACUUCUGCGAACUCAAGUUAUUUGCCGAACUGUUCGACUCGAGCUUCCACCCGGCGUUCACCUGGCUAGCGCUCAGCGUGUUGAAUAUUGUCAUCCUAUUCACAGUUUGCACAACCCUAUUUGACAAACGUUCCAAACGUCCCUACAUCGCAAUGGCGUUAAUGCUCCUCCCGUGGGCGAUGACUUGUCUGGGCUUUAUCCCGUUAUACCGCGUUAUAAUAGAGCCCCUCGUUUUAAGAGGCCAUCCCUGUAUGUAUACAAUAUCGCCACAACGCCACGUGGCUCUUCUUCUGCUGACCUAUCCUUUAAUGUGUCUGUUUUUAGUGAUGACGUCAUUUCUGACAGUAGUACUUGUCUUGUACAGAAGAAAUGUUUCUCUUUGCGGCUCAUUGUGCGGAAAAACGUUUCCGUCAAGGGGAGACAACCGCGUGCCACGCGGUGACCCGGAAGAUGAGCGGCGUGAGUUCAUGUUUGACGUGUUGCUCGUCAGCAUACUGACAGUCAUGCUCAGUUUUCCCGUUUUCGCAUUGCAGAUGUAUUUUAAGUUAAAGAACGGGGAUCGCAAUUGUUCCAGCGAUGAGGAAUGUGACAUGUAUAUAUUAGGAAGCCGAAUAGUACACUUUCUUCACGUAUCUCGGAGCGCCGUGAUCCCCGUGGUAUGGUUUCUAGGCAAAGAUUUUCGUUAUGGCUUCAUCCAACUUAUGAAAUGCGGCAAAACCAAAGAAAUCAAACAGGAUCUCUGAUGGUGAACCAUAAGCGGUUUAUUUAUUAAUAUUUAAUAAUUUAUUAAUAUACCCGAGAAAAAUGGAAAGAUUUAUUACCCUUUGGCAGCCCAUCAUCAGCAUGUGGCCAUGCUUCUGAGCUUUUGAGCAUUGCACCUUUAGCGACGUGUGUGUGUGUGUGUGUGUGUGUGUGUGUGUGUGUGUGUGUG
rnacentral:misc_RNA from 1 species